AUUCACGGUAACAAAAAACAUCAAAUAUUGUUUGUUAAAAUCCAAGUACUGACAAAAAUGGAGGUACACGUUUGGUGGUGUAUGUGUUUUUUACUUCAUUGCAAACUACAACUAUCAUCUUUCACAGGACACAUUUUGUUUUCAACAAACAAUUCAAUUAUGGAGUUUGAUAUUGAUACACGCAAUGUAACUGUACUUUUGGUGCAGAGCGAUACUGUGUUCGAUAUGGACUAUGAUUACAAAAACAGAUUCAUCUAUUUUCCGAGAUACUACACCCACGACAUCGUUCGAUUUGCAUAUCCCUCAAAGAAUAGAACAUUACAAACAGUUAUCCAGUCAUCACCAUAUCAUCCAUCAGGAAUUGCGGUUGAUCCAACCAAUGCCCAUAUAUACUGGACUGAUCUUCUUGGACACAGACUCUCAAGAUGCAAUCUAGACGGAACCAAUGUGACUGUGUUAUCAACACUAAGUUUUCCUAUUGUGAUACGACUUGAUCUUACAAACAGAUGGAUGUUUAUAGUUGAAUUGAAAAUAGGAAUAAUAAAGUCUAGAUUUGAUUUACUUGAAAAUGAGACGAUAGUUGACUUUUUAUCAUCACAGGCUUAUUGCAUGGACAUAGACACUAACGAACACAGAUUGUAUUGGAUUUUAUUUAGCAAAGGUGACAUAAAAUCAGCUACAUACGAUGGCUCUGAUGUAAAAACAAUUAUUUCGACAAAUUCUGCUGGCAACAAAAUGGCUAUUGGUGUCCUUGGAAGUAAUAUUUUCUAUUCUGAUAAUAAACAAUUAUUAAUGGUUGAUAAAACACCAGGAUCCACGCCGACUGUUCUGUAUAUUGAUACCAAUAGGAUUGAAAGUAUAUUUGUGUUUAAUCAGUCAGGUAUGUAAACAAUUAUUUCUUAAAUGUUUUACAAAGAGCUAUUACAUAAAGAUACUUAUUUUAUGAUAUUAUAUUUAUUAUAUAGUAUCUAAUUAUGAUACAACCAUAUCAAUAAUUGCUGUCUUUUGAAUCCCAUUAAAUGCAAUGUAUGUGGAUGUAUAAAGGAAGAGAUCGACGUCCUUUACAUCUACAUUUUUUUAUCUUCAGAAUUUAUAAUUUACGAUUUCCGAAUGAUAAUUGUUAAAUGUCAUUACUUGAAAGUAAGUAUGCAUGUAAAUACGUUUGCAAAAUUAGUCAGUACUUUCAAGAGAAUCAUCUGGUGACUAACAAUUGUUACCAAAUAGAUACAGGCAGUUAAACAUCAAUAAAAAAAUAGUGUUUACAUGAUUAAUGUUAUUGUUAUACAUAACGUCUUUUGUGCUUUACUUACAUGUUAUUUAGCUUAUUUUUUUUAUCGAUGCACAUGCUUUUUUAUAUUCUAAGUAUUUACUUUUUUAAAUAUAUAUAAACACAAAAACAUUAUUUAGAUAAUGUAUUUAAUUUCAAUAAACAUGUGUAGUAAUGUAUGAAUGCUUCUUGUGGUUUAAAAAUGUUUUGAUUAUAUGCAAUAAAGGUAACAAAAACAAACUCAACAUAAUAUUUUACAAAGAAAAUCGUUUAAAAAAGGAAUCCGUUUCGACUCAGUUGUUAAGGGCCAUAACUAAAACACUAGUUCUAUACAAUUGAACUGAACCAUACAGUUAUGUGAAAACAUUACGUAUUCGGUCAUACUUUAAAACUUAUUAUUUUUGUUUUUCUUACAUGUGAUUAUAUCUGUUAUUUUGAUUUACUAGUUGCUUCUUAAUUUUUCAUCUAUUUAGCUUUUUAUUUAGUAUAUAUAUAUAUGUCUUGUUGUGUAUACUAACCAAAUGGACAUGUGUAGUUUUUUCCUAACGUAGCUUCUAUGCAUUCCAUGCCCAUUGCUUAUUCAAUGCUUUUACUUUAUAAGUUACAAUGCAACCUUUAUUCGAUAUGUGUGUAUUGUUCUUUACUGAUAAAAUGUAUUCAUAUUGAUAUUUGUUGUUGUUGAAUAAAAUACUUAUUUCUUAAAUAAAAUACUUAUUUCUUCAAUCUCUGUCAUUUUAUAAUUUUUUUUAUAAAUUUCGUUGACUAAAGUCAUUUAUCUGUUAUUAUUGUUUGCGUUACAAAUUUAAAUAAUAAUAAUUUAAAUUAACAAGUUACCUUUUCUACGACUAAAAUUUGAUAAAAAUGAAAUUAAAAGACACAUUCUAGAGGUACUUAGUUCUACCCAAAAUUUUAAUAUGGUAUCAUUCUAAAAAAACAUAUUGCUUUGUCCUUUUAAUAUCUAAAUACGAGCAUGUUAUUUCAUAUUUAACUGAGAGAAAUCGUUAAUAAUGUUUAAUUGAAUGGUAGUGUUAUGAUCAUGUUAAAAAAAUCAAUUUAAAUUACAAAAUAUCGGUGUUCGAAAUUUUUUAUUUAGUUUUUUCUACUUUACGAAAUGGAUUUUUUCUAAACCGUGAAACACACAAAGAAAUAAACAAAACUCUAGUAGUACAUCAAUACAUUAAUUAUUCAUUUUUUAUUUUAAAACAUCUCAACUGAGUUUGAUGAAGCACCGCCAGUACCUGAUUGACGUCAGGGUUUGAUGUAAGGAUCAUAUAUUAAGCAACAUAACCUGGCCAUAUAUCAUGGAAGUAAACUCAACACAGGAUGGUGAUAUCUUCAGUAUUGUCAGCUAAUUACCAUAUUCAAAUGAUGCAGUAUGAGUACAAAUGCCAUUAGGUUAACAAGUUACAGCUUACUAGAUUUGUUUAACUCUGCAUGGAACGAUACGUAUGCGAGAGAUAUGUACACUUUUUGAGUAAGUGAUAUAGAUUAAACUAGAGUGGUGGACUACAGUUCAAAUGUCAAUUAUAAAACGGAAAUAUCAAUUCAAAUCGAAAGGUCCACAUGAGUCGUAACAAAAUUGCAAAAGAUAGUGUCAAAUCCAACAAGUUAAUAAUGUCAACGAGAGAUGACAGUUAAACACGUUGAUAUUGACUGAACAUAUAUACAAAAAAAAAAGGAAAAAAAAGUUAAUGAAAGUUGUAUAUAUGUAGUGAACUCAAAUUUUGAAAACAAUAACGUAUGGAUAAUAUACCCAUACCUUUUUAGUAGAUUGAUAUUUUGAUGUAAUGAAUAUAUCAUCAACCAUGACAUUUUCAGACUUAUUUGUAAGAUUGCAACAUAGUAAACUACUACUGCAACCUGAAUUCAUUGUCAGAGGCUGUGGAUUCAUUUAUUUUCUUGGGCAUCAGUUUUCGUGG